AAAAAUCCUUGCCAUGUCUGCUGCAGACUGCAGUAAAUCCAGCACCCAUUCAGCCUGACUGUUUGCAGACACCUGAGGAGUUGGACUGCCAGCUUGCAGGAGCCUUGCUUUCUGUCCAGGACCCAUCUCUGCAGUACAGGACAGGCUUUGCUCUCUUGUUAGCAGAGAAUUUCACUCAUCUAUAUGUAUUUUUGCUUCAUCGUUAAAUUGGUUGUCCUCCACUCUUCCUUGAGCAAAAAAUGUGUUUGGCACUGAGGAGAAGAAGACUGAGGAAAUAUUCAUGAUUGUUAGAACUGAGAGUGGAUUUGAAAAUGUCAGGCUUCCUGAAAGUGCCCAAGGUGCUGACAUUACAUGUUUGAAAUCUCAUAAAUGGCUCCUGUUCUGUCUCUGAGUCAGUUCUGCUUCAGGCCACAUUGUGGGUCUGCCACUUGGAAAGAGCGAGAAGGGAGGAUUAAAUAAGAGGAAUUGAUGUGACUUUCAAAAACAUUUGGCCCAGUGGAUGAAGAGCCCCUGAACAAAGGUUGGCCCUCAGGAGAGUCUGGCAUUGUGCAGGAACACGUUGGCACUGGUGCCCAGCCACACACCUGCCUCAGCUGGGACCACCCCAGGGAAGUGUGGCUGGAGAUUCCCACCCUGUGCAUGCAAAGGGCUGUCUGUCAGCUGUGCUUCUCCCCCCAGUCUUCAGAAGGGGAUCCAAGUACUGUAUCAUUCCUGCUUACUCAAAAACCUGUCCUUUGUCAUGGUACUCUAGGUAGCACAGAGGACUGCUGGCUUCUUUGUCAAUGCCACAGGACCUGAUGCCCAGCUUUUUGUCAUGCUCUCAACUUCCCAUCCUGUUGUGCUUGACCCAGGCUUACCUGUAAGGCAAGGACUCACAUUGAACAACAAAGGAAGACCUGUCCUCAGAAACGCUGAGACAGCUCUCCCAGUGUGUUCACUUUCUAAGGCUCUGUGAUGUUCUCAUGCUGAUUUGGGGAGAGGUUGUUGUCCUCGUUUUUUGAGUGCCUCUGCUAUGACACUGCAAUUUACAGAUGUUCUGGAGCUACCACUUGGUCAAAAUUGAGACUCAGAGGUCCCAUCUGAUCUGUUUUCUAUAAAGCACUAGUGAAUUGAGAACAUUGUUGAACUUCAACUAUUUCCAUUACGAGUUUUCCAUUACACAAAUUAUUCCCUUAAAAUGUAUGCUUGCCUUAAAAUGAGUGUCUUAGUUACUUUCCCUUAUUGCUGGGAUAAAAUACCCAACAACCAAAAUGAAGGAAAGAAAGGUUUAUUUAGCUUACUGUUUGUGGAGGUUUCAGUCCAUACUCAGCUGGUUCCAAGGCAGCCAGAAAAAGUAGCCAGAGAAAAAAGAAGGGCAAGCCUCUUUUCCUCGCUUAUAUUUCUGCAGAGCAAGUGUAGCACUCACAAAUUCUCCUUGCCCUUCUCUUGCAUAGGACCAGAAUAUUUACAAAGUAGGAACCUUGGCUCCCUGCUAAAUCUCUCAGUUAAACUUCUAAACUUCUGAAGUUGUCAUGAUGUUUCAACCAUAACAAUGUGUAAACCCCUCUGGUACUAGUAGUGAAUGUCAAAGGAGAAAUGGUUCUGUCUUGAAACAGGUUGUGAUGAGGCUCUCCUGCAAGGACAGUGGAUGAGUUUUGUGAAGCUGCUGAGUGAUUGUCAAGAGGACUGCAGACAUUUAGAAGCUCUGGCUUUUGAUGAAGUGGUCAGUGCUAUUAGGAAAGUGAACCGAAGGUUAAAGAAAAAUCCUUUAAAAUGUAAUCAUAACCAUCCUGGCUUGCUUUUGCGUUGUCAUUAUCAGGGUGUGCUGACAAUGAAUUGCCAAAGGACAAAAAUUUGUGACACAGAUAAGAGUUCUAAUGACAGAAUUUCCCUCCAGAAAACCAGGUCUUAUUCUGUAAGACCAUACCUACAUUCCAGGUCAAUAAAAUAUUUUCAGCAAAAAUGGACAGGAUGAGAUGAAUAUUACUAGGUACAAAAAACCCCACAAAAAUCCACUGUACUUUCCCACAGAGUUUAGGCCUGUCAGUCCCCAUUUUAGUCUAAAAAUAAGACAGUAUAGCUUAGCAGACAGCUGAAACUGUUAGGUGCCAUUAUUUACAUUUGGUGGCAUAGAACUGGAUAAAUUUGUAAACCUUUCUAAGCUUCAAUUGCUUCAACUGUGAAUGGGAGUAUUUACAGCACCCAACACAAGGUUUUGGUAGAAUUGAUAAAACAUGUGUAUGUUACUGGUAUUGUGCCUCUGAUACACAAAGGGCUCAAAAAUGCAUUACUAUUUAAGAGAUUGGAAUGGUUCACACCAUUGGCUAUGCAAAAGUGUCAUAUGUAUUGGUUUUGUAAAUAAACAGAAAGUCAUUUAACUUU